rnacentral:rRNA from 1 species
AGCAGCCGCGGUAAUUCCAGCUCCAAUAGCGUAUAUUAAAGUUGUUGCAGUUAAAAAGCUCGUAGCUGAAUUUCGGAAUUUGUCGGUUGGUCGGGCUUCACUGUCCGCACUGGCCUGAUGGAUUCCUACCUUCUGAAUAACCAGCAUGCUAUUAAUUUAGUGCGUUGGGGAAGCAGAGCUAUUACCUUGAAAAAAUUAGAGUGCUUAAAGCAGGCUCACGCUUGAAUAGAUUAGCAUGGAAUAAUAAAAUAGGACGGCUUGGUUCUAUUUUGUUGGUUUCUAGGAUCACCGUAAUGAUUAAUAGGGAUAGUCGGGGGCAUUAGUAUUCAAUUGUCAGAGGUGAAAUUCUUGGAUUUAUUGAAGACUAACUUCUGCGAAAGCAUUUGCCAAGGAUGUUUUCAUUAAUCAAGAACGAAAGUUAGGGGAUCGAAGACGAUCAGAUACCGUCGUCGUCCUAACCAUACAACUAUGCCGACUAGGGAUCGGACGAUGUCAAUUUUUU